UGGAAAACAGGGGUCAGUUAAUUGCAGAAACUUUUUCUGGAUUGUUGUGAAAUGUGUGUCUUCCCAUUCUCUUGCACAAGCUGUACUUCUAGCUGCCUUCUUCUGCCCACCACCCUGCCCAAGCUUUUGGAGAAUUGUUCCAUCUGUUGAUCUCCCGGAGGGGCCACCGAGCCCAAAAUGUGUGUCUUCAUUUUCACCCGACACCCGGUGGAGAGGAUGCCCUGAAGAGGCCCAUUGAAAAGAGAUCAGUUCCCAGCUCCUUAUCUGCCCAGCAAUAUCAGAGGAAGGGAUCUUAUCACACCGCAAUUACCAGGUCCAACUUCCCGCUAAUUGGCUCUCCCUGAGUUCCCUCCAGUCUGCCUGUCUGUGUCACCGGCGGACGGCAGGCAGAGAGGUUGAGAGUGGUGCCGUUUGUCCAGUGAUGCCCUGUCAAGCUGCAGGGAAAGAGAAGACAGUGGAACUGGCCCUGAAAAAGGCAGAAGGCUUGGGUCACUAUCCAGUUCUGGCCAAAGACACCAGUUCUAUGCCCUGGACGCCUUCGGGCAAUAACCCCAGACUUUUGAGGAGGAACUUGGAACACCCGUCUCUGGUGCAUCCCACUGCUACUAAGUUCUGAGAACUUGAAGGGGGGGGGAGUCGGAUUUAACUCUUUGAAUGACAGCUCCAAGGGCUCUGCCUGAGAAACUCCAGGAAUUGUCAGCCAAAGACAUAAGUCUACAGACUUCCACCCAGAAUGGCUGAUAUCAUGGGAGAUUGCAGCUCCCAGUCAAGAUGCCUCCAGCCCCCUCGGGGAUCUCGUAUAGGUCUGCUUGAUUGGCACUGCAUGCAGCAAACUGCAUUGUGGUGGAGGAGUGAGAAGCAAGGAGGCCGAAACAGAGAAAUCAUCCUGGGGAUCCGUGCCAAGGAUGGAGGGAGGAAAAGGUUUAUCACUCAUCUCUUCAUAUUCUUUAUGUUUGCAUUUUCAAAUUCUGCAAGAGGUUUCAACAGGGACACAGAAUAAGCUGAAGUAUUGUGUGGCUCCUUGAACAGGUGUUGAAAAAGGCAGAGAGGGUGAAGAUCAGAAGAAAGCCAUCUUUGAGAGAAAGAGUCAACAUGGUGCUAAUUGGACAGAGGAGAGAUAGAAAAAGACAGCAAGACAGAAAAGAAAAACAGCCCUGGACUACCGAUACCAUAAAAACCAACAAUUUGGGGACCAAAAGCAGAUUCUUCUCAAGAGCUGGCAUGGAAAAGAGACACACCCUCAAAACAUCCCCAGGGCCAGCAGGUGGAAGGGUGGCCUCUCGGUCUGACCAGAUUUGCCCCAGCUAGGAAUUUCCAAGGAAGCCGCCUUCGUGGCCCACCUCCAUCCAGGCGGCCCCGACAGAAUACAGAGGU
rnacentral:lncRNA from 1 species